AAAUGCAGUUGAUCUGUAUGUGUCUGUACAGGCUUGUGUUGUGGAUUGAGGAAGUCACAUCAACACGAAAUUGCAAUCUAUAUGAUAUACCGAAAAUACCCUUGUCAUUCAUUCAUUCAUUCCCCCAUUGACCACUCACCCAACUCCUUCUAUUCGCCAUCCUUAGGGUUUUCUCUGUUUCUUCCAUUUCCUCUCUUUCACACUUAACAUUCAUCUCCAAGAAUUAGUCUUACUCCCUCAAAGCUUCGUUUUUUUUACUCAAAAACCCUUUCCGGGUAUUAUCCUUUCCAUUAACCCAUUUUUCUUUCAUUUUCUGCUCCCAGUUUCGAUCUGAUCCCGUGCUGAAUUUGAAGCCGGUCCUCCACUCCUUCAAAUUUCGGCCGAAGCUCCGAAAAGGGUAUGUUUUCUGCCUCUUUCUUCGGCUCUAGGGUUAACUUUGAUGCUGCUGGUGAGAUUGGUUUUUAUUUGGAAUGAAAGGAAUUGGGAAUCUUGGGUGUCUAUUGGGAGUUCAGGAUGCUUAGAUUACAGCUCAUGCUUGGUUUUGUUCAACUAGUGUAUUAGAAUUGUUGAAAUUAACCGGGUUCUUUAGGUUUGGAUUUUGAAGUUGCGGGUGUCGUUGGAAGCUUAUGAGCGUUUGUUUGGUUUGCUUCAAGGGGAAAACAAGUGGUGAUUUCUCAGUAUAGUAAGGUUUGAUUUGGAAAUGGACAACUCCAAAAACAGGCAUAAUGAUAGUCUGGGUGUUAACAAGAUGGGAAAAAAUAUAAGGAAGAGCCCUUUACAUCAGCCCAAUUUUGCUAACAACGCUGCUAGACAACAGCCUCAGCCUCAGGUUUACAACAUUAGCAAGAAUGAAUUUCGGGAUAUUGUUCAGCAGCUUACUGGAUCACCCUCCCAGGAUCAUCCACCUAGACCUCCACACAAUCCACCGAAGCCGCAGAGCAUGCGACUGCAGAAAAUUAGACCUCCCCCGUUAACACCAAUCAAUCGACCUCGCUUGCCCCCGCCAAUGCCGGUGCCUGCUGCCGCCCCUCAUCCAGUUCCUCACAAUAAUGCCAUGCCAAGACCUGCUCAGUUUGGACAACCGUUGCCUAGUCCUGGGGAUAUAUGGUCUAAUACGACCGAGUCACCCAUAUCUGCUUACAUGCGUUACCUUCAGAAUUCAAUAAUGGAUCCAAGUUCAAGGGGUAACCAGGUUCAGCCUCAACCACAUCCGUACCCUCAACAUCAAAUACCCGGCAAUGUCCAGCCUCAUCCCCCUCCCUCGUCUGCUAUGUUUCCUAAUCCUCACAUGCCCAUGUUCCCUUCCCCGAGAUUUAAUGGUCCUGUUCCACCAAUGAAUGCUACUAACUCUCCCGUGCCUACUCUUCUUCCUUCACCACAAGCAAAUGGUCCUCCUCCCCCUUUACUUUCUCCAACCUCUCAAUUCCUCCUGCCUUCUCCAACUGGUUACAUGAAUUUGCUAUCUCCUCGCUCACCUUAUCCACUUUUGUCACCUGGCAUUCAGUUCCCGUCUCCGCUUACACCAAAUUUUCCGUUCUCGUCCACGGGGCAGUCAGGGAUUUUAGGUCCUGGCCCACAACCUCCUCCUUCUCCUGGCCUUGUGUUUCCGUUAUCACCUUCAGGCUUUUUUCCCAUAUCAAGUCCCAGGUGGAGAGACCACUAGGCUUCUUAAUUCUUGUUACAAGUUUAAUAUGGUUUGCUUCUUUCUAACUGAAGAGGUUCUAGGCUUGUUCUUUGGCAUGUGAUGUACAAUCAGGUUGUAAGAGCUCUUUUUGGCUAUCUGUAGUGUUCAUUUCUCAUUUCUUUGUUUCUCUUUUGUUGAAAACUGUAAUGGUUGCAGUCCUUUUACUUUGACAAGUUUUACAUUAGGCAAUACAUAUUGAAGAUCAGACAACUCAAUUGGGCAGUUGGACAGGAGCUGUAAGAUGGAAGACUGAUCUGUAGCUCAAAAGGAAGUAGGAUUACAGACAAUAUUUGUUGUCUUUAGCUGCCUCUUUUGGGGGACAAAGGAGCCACACGUAAAGGCCCAAGAAAAAUUAUACUAGAUUGCUUCAUCUUUCUUUGGACUUGUUUUCAGGUAAAAUGAUUUUCCUUGGGAUUGACUGUUUAUGCUUUACCCAUAUGUUAUUCAGUACAAAGGAGUACGUUUUUAAUUUGGAUUCUGCCUUUGGAGGGAGUAUGUAGGGGAGAGAAUAAUAUGGCUGACUACUUGACUGAAUCAUUUAUGAUGAUUUUGUUGUUUCUUCUUUUGUUAAGCAUUUAGAAAUCACUAGAUGUAACUUAACCACUAGGCAUAUUAUCAUCUACUCUUGAUCAUCCCUUGGAGACCCUGCUUAUGUUCUCAUUCUUUUGCUUAUUAAAUUAAGUUUUAUCUACCUCAGAAUAUGCUUCUCUCCCGCAAACUCAUGGGGGGCAUGUGUAUAAUAUCCAAGCCUGAAGAUAGAUUACUCAGUUCUACGUCAUGUGUUGAGAAGAAGCAUUAGUUAGUUUUGUGGCCUAACAGGUUUUUGACUGUGAACGUCUUUCCUCUAUCUGAUAAAGGAUCGGUUUGUUUACUGUUGUCUUUUCACCAUCAUGCAUUCCUUCUAGGUCUGACUUUGACUAUUUGUUCUGCAUCUUCCGCUUCCCGUUUCCUUAUAUCGUUGACAGAGCGGAGGGCCAGUUCGUUCAUGAAAUUUAUAUUGAAUAAACUUGCCAACAUUUUGGAUGUUU